rnacentral:rRNA from 1 species
CGCUGGCGGCAGGCCUAACACAUGCAAGUCGAACGGUAACAGGAAGAAGCUUGCUUCUUUGCUGACGAGUGGCGGACGGGUGAGUAAUGUCUGGGAAACUGCCUGAUGGAGGGGGAUAACCACUGGAAACGGUAGCUAAUACCGCAUAACGUCGCAAGACCAAAGAGGGGGACCUUCGGGCCUCUUGCCAUCGGAUGUGCCCAGAUGGGAUUAGCUAGUAGGUGGGGUAACGGCUCACCUAGGCGACGAUCCCUAGCUGGUCUGAGAGGAUGACCAGCCACACUGGAACUGAGACACGGUCCAGACUCCUACGGGAGGCAGCAGUGGGGAAUAUUGCACAAUGGGCGCAAGCCUGAUGCAGCCAUGCCGCGUGUAUGAAGAAGGCCUUCGGGUUGUAAAGUACUUUCAGCGGGGAGGAAGGGAGUAAAGUUAAUACCUUUGCUCAUUGACGUUACCCGCAGAAGAAGCACCGGCUAACUCCGUGCCAGCAGCCGCGGUAAUACGGAGGGUACAAGCGUUAAUCGGAAUUACUGGGCGUAAAGCGCACGCAGGCGGUUUGUUAAGUCAGAUGUGAAAUCCCCGGGCUCAACCUGGGAACUGCAUCUGAUACUGGCAAGCUUGAGUCUCGUAGAGGGGGGUAGAAUUCCAGGUGUAGCGGUGAAAUGCGUAGAGAUCUGGAGGAAUACCGGUGGCGAAGGCGGCCCCCUGGACGAAGACUGACGCUCAGGUGCGAAAGCGUGGGGAGCAAACAGGAUUAGAUACCCUGGUAGUCCACGCCGUAAACGAUGUCGACUUGGAGGUUGUGCCCUUGAGGCGUGGCUUCCGGAGCUAACGCGUUAAGUCGACCGCCUGGGGAGUACGGCCGCAAGGUUAAAACUCAAAUGAAUUGACGGGGGCCCGCACAAGCGGUGGAGCAUGUGGUUUAAUUCGAUGCAACGCGAAGAACCUUACCUGGUCUUGACAUCCACGGAAGUUUUCAGAGAUGAGAAUGUGCCUUCGGGAACCGUGAGACAGGUGCUGCAUGGCUGUCGUCAGCUCGUGUUGUGAAAUGUUGGGUUAAGUCCCGCAACGAGCGCAACCCUUAUCCUUUGUUGCCAGCGGUCCGGCCGGGAACUCAAAGGAGACUGCCAGUGAUAAACUGGAGGAAGGUGGGGAUGACGUCAAGUCAUCAUGGCCCUUACGACCAGGGCUACACACGUGCUACAAUGGCGCAUACAAAGAGAAGCGACCUCGCGAGAGCAAGCGGACCUCAUAAAGUGCGUCGUAGUCCGGAUUGGAGUCUGCAACUCGACUCCAUGAAGUCGGAAUCGCUAGUAAUCGUGGAUCAGAAUGCCACGGUGAAUACGUUCCCGGGCCUUGUACACACCGCCCGUCACACCAUGGGAGUGGGUUGCAAAAGAAGUAGGUAGCUUAACCUUCGGGAGGGCGCUUACCACUUUGUGAUUCAUGACUGGGGU